UAAGAACAAGCUAGUCCAGACUGC
rnacentral:piRNA from 1 species